GCCCCAGUUCGGAUUGCAGGCUGCAACCCGCCUGCAUGAAGUUGGAAUCGCUAGUAAUCGCGGAUCAGCAUGCCGCGGUGAAUACGUUCCCGGGCCUUGUACANACCGCCCGUCACACCAUGAGAGUCGGGAACACCCGAAGUCCGUAGCCUAACCGCAAGGAGGGCGCGGCCGAAGGUGGGUUCGAUAAUUGGGGUGAAGUCGUAACAAGGUAGC
rnacentral:rRNA from 1 species